rnacentral:rRNA from 1 species
UACGUAGGUGGCAAGCGUUGUCCGGAAUUAUUGGGCGUAAAGGGUGCGUAGGCGGUCUAUUAAGUCUGGUUUGAAAGCCCAUGGCUUAACCAUGGAUUGAGAUUGGAAACUGGUAGACUUGAGGACAGGAGAGGAAGGUGGAAUUCCACGUGUAGCGGUGAAAUGCGUAGAGAUGUGGAGGAACACCAGUGGCGAAGGCGGCCUUCUGGCCUGUGACUGACGCUGAUGCACGAAAGCGUGGGUAGCAAAC